rnacentral:lncRNA from 10 species
GGAAGCCCCUCAGUUCCCACCAACCCCUGGCGUUCCCCGCCCCCGCCAGACCCGAGCACCUUUUCGUUCUCUCCCGAAGAUACGUGAACGUUCUUGUCACUCGGACCCGCACCUGAGAGCAGGAAUAUAAGGGAAUCUCCGUUUGACUCUCACGGUUUCGGGGGUGGCAGGGAGACCCCCUUCUAAUUCCUUUAAUGCGUCUGGAUGAAAGAAGAGUGACCCAGAACAAACCUUUUUUUCAAACAUACACACUCGUCUCCCAAAACAGACGAAGGAAUUGUCUUUGACCUUAACUUGUUUUUUUAUCUACUGUGUAGAUCAUUAAGAAAUUUUCUACAGAUAUCAACCAAACCCUUAACACCUAAACCACCACCCCCACAAAACAAAAAUGAAAAAAAAAUACAUACAUAUAUAUAUAUGCCAAGCCAGAGAAGAGAAUAGCCAACGGGUUGUCCUGAAAUUCAUAAACAACUUAAAGAGUCUUGUUCUGUCACCCACCCAGGAUGGAGUCCAAUCUCGGCUCACUUAUGCAGUGGUUGCUUAGAUAUGACACCAAAAGUAUAAGCAACCAAAGAAAAAAAUAAAUUGGACUUCGUCAAAACUUAACACUUUUGUGAAGCUGGCUAUGGUGGGAAUAUUUAUACCAGAGAAAUUGGCAAAUGGUGUAUAUCAGGGCUUGUUUUGUUAAGUGUCUAGACUUAAGAAAGUGAUAGAGCAACUGUGAAUAAUGCAAAUGAAACUUAAAAUUGUGUUGUGUCUGUAGCUGUUACACUGGGAAAAACAUGAAAAAAAUUAAGAGCUAAUCUUUCAGUAUUUGAAAACCGUU